rnacentral:rRNA from 1 species
UACGAAGGGUGCAAGCGUUAAUCGGAAUUACUGGGCGUAAAGCGUGCGUAGGCGGUGAUUUAAGUCUGCUGUGAAAUCCCCGGGCUUAACCUGGGAACCGCGCUUCUAACUGGCAGGCUUGAGUGUGGCAGAGGGGGGUGGAAUUCCACGUGUAGCAGUGAAAUGCGUAGAGAUGUGGAGGAAUACCGAUGGCGAAGGCAGCCCCCUGGGAUGACACUGACGCUGAAGCACGAAAGCGUGGGGAGCAAACAGG